CAAACUAUACUUUCGGGGAUCAUUUCUGUAGUUUGUUACUAGAGAAGCUUCUCUGAAUGCGUAGUGCACCCGGAACCACGAGGAGGAGAUGGAGUGUUCUCUCCUGAGCCUGAAGUCGGCUAUUGGUGUUACUUUGGUGACUUCCAUUGGCCAUUGAUGAUCAUUCUUCUCUCUCCUUGGAGGGAGUAAGAGGGAGAAAACACCGUCUGAGUGGG